GAAUGAUUGUCGGGGCUCCGUAUCAGCAAUAAAAGGGGUCCAGGCCAAUUAGCAAAAAAGGUAUUGUAGCCCAAGGAGUGGCUGAUGGACCUCUUCAGCUAGCCGGAAGAUGGACCUAGAAUAGGCUAGCUCCAGGCUAAUUGGUGCUUGCUUUGGGACAGAGAUGUUAGCCAGGAGAAGCCAAUCGGAUAGCAGCUAGCUAGCUGCGAUGAUCCAGGUGAAAAGGUUCAGAGCUUGCGGUAGGAAUCCUGAGAUAUGGAGAAAAAUAAGUCUGAUUUAAUCUGGUUUGAGUCGCGCUGUCCAGACUGGCGAGAGUUGUCCAGGCUGAAGGUAGCUGAUGACCGCUAGCAGUGGCUAGCUGACUACUAGCUGGUAGCUAGUUAGCUGGCUAGCUGCUGUUGAGGGUCCCGGUUCAAAAGUAAAGAAAAUAGCAGAAUCAUACCACAUUGGGUGAGGCGGAUUGCAGGAGAGUAUGUUGAAGUUGAGGUUAAGAAAAAUCUAAAAAAAGAUAUGCGAAGAAAAAAGAUAUAAAAAGAUAUAUACAUGGGACACGACAAGACGAAGGACAAAAGAUGUCUGACUGCUACACCAUCUUGGAAAUGCAUGGGGUAUCGUCGGACGGGGCCACAGUGUCCCUUGACCCACCCCUGUCUCAGUCUCCAGUAUCUAUGCUGCAAUAGUCUAUGGACAGUCUGUUAUAUCUGCUGUAAUUCUCCUGUCUUAUCUGGUGUCCUGUGUGAAUUUAAGUAUGCUCCCUCUAAUUCUCUCUCUCUCCCUCUCUCCCUCUCUCCCUCCCAUCUCGGAGGACCUGAGCCCUAGGAUCAUGCCUCGGGACUACCUGGCCUGAUGCCUCGUGGCUGUACCCAGUCAACCUGGUCGUGCUGUUGCUCCAGUUUCAAUUGUUCUGCCUGCGGCUAGAUAACCCUGACCUGUUCACCAGACGUGCUACCUUGUCCCGGACCUGCUGUUUUCGACUCUCUCUACCGCACCUGCUGUCUCGACCUCUGAAUGCUCAGCUAUGAAAAGCCAACUGACAUUUACUCCUGAGGUGCUGACCUGUUGCACCCUCUACAACCACUGUGAUUAUUAUUAUUUGACCCUGCUGGUCAUCUAUGAACACCUGAACAUCUUGGCCAUGUUCUGUUAUAACCUCCACCCGGCACAGCCAGAAGAGGACUGGCCAUUCCUCAGAGCCUGGUUCCUCUCUAGGUUUCUUCCUAGGUUCCAGCCUUUCUAGGGAGUUUUUCCUAGGCACGGUGCUUCUACAUCUGCAUUGUUUGCUGUUUGGGGUUUUAAGCUGGGUUUCUGUAUAGCACUUUCUGUAUAGGGCUUAAUAAAUACAUUUGAUUGAUUGAUUGUCUCGCUGUGUGUGUAACCUGAUUUUGUGUGUGUGUGUGUGUGUGUGUGUGUGUGUG
rnacentral:lncRNA from 1 species